AAUAUUGCACAAUGGAGGAAACUCUGAUGCAGCGACGCCGCGUGAGCGAUGAAGGCCNNNGAGUCNUAAAGCUCUGUCCUAGGNGAANAUAAUGACGGUACCCCAGGAGGAAGCCCCGGCUAACUACGUGCCAGCAGCCGCGGUAAUACGUAGGGGGCGACCGUUGUCCGGAAUUAUUGGGCGUAAAGGGUUCGCAGGCGGCCUUUUAAGUAAGAUGUGAAAGCCCACGGCUUAACAGUGGUAAGCAUUUGAAACUGGAAGGCUUGAGUUAAGGAGAGGAAAGUAGAAUUCCUAGUGUAGCGGUGAAAUGCGUAGAUAUUAGGAGGAAUACCAGUGGCGAAGGCGACUUUCUGGACUUAUACUGACGCUGAGGAACGAAAGCGUGGGGAGCAAACA
rnacentral:rRNA from 1 species